CAAACGGUGGAGCAUGUGGUUUAAUUCGAUGCAACGCGAAGAACCUUACCUGGCCUUGACAUAGUAAGAACUUUCCAGAGAUGGAUUGGUGCCUUCGGGAACUUACAUACAGGUGCUGCAUGGCUGUCGUCAGCUCGUGUCGUGAGAUGUUGGGUUAAGUCCCGCAACGAGCGCCACCCUUUUCCUUAUUUGCCAGCGAGUAAUGUCGGGAACUUUAAGGAUACUGCCAGUGACAAACUGGAGGAAGGCGGGGACGACGUCAAGUCAUCAUGGCCCUUACGGCCAGGGCUACACCCGUGCUACAAUGGUCGGUACAAAGGGUUGCUACCUAGCGAUAGGAUGCUAAUCUCAAAAAGCCGAUCGUAGUCCGGAUUGGAGUCUGCAACUCGACUCCAAAGUCGGAAUCGCUAG
rnacentral:rRNA from 1 species